rnacentral:lncRNA from 1 species
UGGAUUUUCAGAAGCUUGAGAACCGGGGUCAGAUUCCUUCGAACGAUUGCAAAUACCUCUACAAGGGGCAAGAAAUCCUAUGAUGUUGAUGCUUAGAAAUGUUGAAGAGAGGGGACAAUAUCAAGGUUUUGAGGUGUCGCAGGUGAUCUAGUUGUUUCAAGGCAGAUUUAGUGCAGCUAUCUAAUAUUCACCGAUUUCUUCUGUUGUAAGGUAGCUAUAGGCUUUAAGGUUAAUUUUGCUAAAACGUUCUCAA